rnacentral:lncRNA from 1 species
AUGUGUGAUAUGAGAAGGGCGCUUUCAUUUUUAUGGGGAGAUAUAAGGAGCUGCCUGCUGCUGCCUCAGGCAAAAAUCAUAUCUCGUAGUUCCACGUGCUCUCUGCUAUUAGCUUUGGUGCUUUGCUUUGGUCAGACAAAUCGAAUGUCGUCCCGACCUGCACAAACGAAGCAUGGGACAGUCAAAAUCAAGGAAAAUCAUGUUACAAAUGUAACCACAAGCUGUAUAAUAUAGGCAUAGAAAUAUCUAAAAACGAAAUGCCGACACGCUCGCUCAUCUUGUUGGCAACAACAUAGGAAACGGUUGCCACCUUUACAAAUGAUGAUUCCAGACAAGCGGGGCAAUAUAUCCAGCGGGACUAUUUGAUUUUCCUAAGGACCAGUGCUUCAGCACCACACCAACAUUGCUGAACUCAACAUGGCAGCGCCACAAAGCACUCAAUACAGAAUACACCUUUGCUAAACACAAUAUGACAGCGCCACAAAGCACUCAAUACACCGCAGAUAUUAUACUAGGACUAGGAGGAUCAAUCCCUUCGAUUUUCAGUGGAAAUUUGAUUAAUUUUACUCCUAAAACCCCAUGGCAUUGUUGCCUAAACAGAGAAGUAGAGCAUUUCUUACAAAAGACUGUCUAGGUAUGAGAUCAUGGAUAACAAAGGAACAUUUUCAAUGUUUCCUCUUACAUCCCUUAUCCCUUAUUAAAUCAGUUACUCCCUCCAGUCCGGUUUAUAAGGCGCACAGUGAAAUUCCAGAUACCAAGAAGCAACGGCAGUUUGUGGUAACAUUUGGCCUUGUUUAGUUUCAAAUUUUUUUGGGAAAACAACACUGUAGCACUUUCGUUUUUAUUUGACAAACAUUGUCCCAUCAUGGAGUAACUAGGCUUAAAAGAUUCGUCUCGCGAUUUACAGACAAACUGUGUAAUUAGUUUUUAUUUUCAUCAUUAUUUAAUGCUCCAUGUAUGUGCCGCAAGAUUCGAUGUGACGGGGAAUCUUGAAAAUUUUUGGGUUUUUGGGGUGAACUAAACAAGGCCAGUCCAUUGAUGGUUAUGGAGCUGUUUUUAUUGGAUUGUUUUUUGCGUGAUUGUAGCACAAGCGCCUCGGUACUGAUCCUGCACUGGGUGUUGAGUGUUUUUAUUGGACCGGUAUCAAUCACGCAGGAAGGAAAAUGGGAACAAACGCCUGUUCAGUUCCACCAGUGAGCUAAACCUUGCCUUGGUAUACAUGUGAUGCCUAAUAUAAAGGACUUUCUUCAAAACACAAAGAUGCCUUAGAAAUCAGACUGGAAGGUUUCUUUAUUACAUUGAAAAGAUCCAGAUUCAUGCGCUCAAAGGUCCAAAUUCACUCGCUGAACUACACGUUCACAUGCAUCACAGUAUCCUGAGUCCUCCCAUAUUCCCACACUAACUCUCAUUUCUAUUCAAGCAACCAACAACCAGACAACAGUAGAAUAGCUUCAACUUCCAAGAAGCUAAGCGUCAACUACAAGGAUGAGCAAGCUUUUCACAAACUUGACAGUUUCUAUAUAUGAGAUAAAAUAUGGGAUUAUUUUUAUUGGAUUGUUCUGAGAUUUCCAAGCUCAAUUGAACAUAAUUCAUUGGUUAUAUCAUCCAACUUUGGCAGUAUAGUAUCUGUAUGCAGGACAAUUAAAUGUUUGGAGGACAAAACCAUAUUCGCAAAUUAUACUGACUUAAUGACUCACUUCCCUAGUCCCCACACAACAGUCUCUUCACAUGAUUUCAGAUUUAGGUGAUUUUAGUGACCACAUCCUUUACAUCUAAUUAUGAAAGCGUUUUGGACCCUCCAUACAGCUCAGAUGGGAUCUUCUUCCCCCCUUUUCCAUAACAGACUUUGUGUAUGUACCCAAAACAAUUUAUAACUAAUUUCUUAGAGUUUCAAUUAUGUAUGUUUGACUCUAGCAAAAACUGAAGAAAUUAAAAUUUAAAUAAAAUGCAGGUCCAAUAACGCUGCUAGGACUACCUAGGGUUUCAUAACGAAGAUUGGGCAUGUUUGGAUGGAGUAUUUAAAUACUCAGUGAAAAGUUGAGAUUUGAACUAAAUCCUAAAUUUCCUAAAGCAAACCCCAUCAUCAAAACACGCCAAUAGACACAGGGGACGUGAAAAAUGUCUCUACUCUCCUCCCAUAGGCCAUAACUCAGAACAAUCUAUACUCAGUUGACAAAGAAUCUUCUUUUGCACUCAGCAAGCAAAAAUGGGAUUACUUCCCUUUGAAAAUGUUCUAUUGACAACAAGUAGUGACCAGGGCUUACUAAUGGAAGCAGGACUCCUUUCCUACACAAAGAAAGAGCAAUAUUUUGUGAUUACAGUAGCAAGUCCUCUCAAGUUUGAACACAGCUACCCAGGUGCCCAAGGCAUGUCUCGUUUUGCAGUAAUGAAUAGGGUCCAUUGCAAGUUCGAACCACUUGUGCUAGCACACAACCCCGCACAAACAAUUGUGCACAUGACCACAUGUGAGUGUUCGUGCAUACCCAAUUUCAGUUUAUACCCAUCCUCCAGGCUUGCUCUUGCACAGUUUCAUGUCCUCAUGUGGGAAGCAACACUCACUAAUACAAUAGGAAAAUGGAAGCAUACAUUGGUUAUUGUCCUAGCAUAGAAAACCAGAUAAAAAUCCCUCAUUUCUGAUUCGCACGCGGUUCAGGAUUCAGGAUCCUACUAGGUGGAGGCACAGAUUGAUGAAACACACAGAAGUAGUGUAUGUCGAAGCACAAGCAGUAACAAGUAAGUACAUAAGAGAGUGGAAGCAGAGGCACAGACCUUGAAGGAGCCGCCAGCGAUAGAGUCCCUGCUCCAUUCGAGACCGAACAGCUUGGUGGAGGCGGCGUAGGUGCCCUUGACGGUAUCUCCUCCGGUGAACUUCUUGGUGACGGCGAACUCCCAGGCGUUCUUGUUGGUGUCGAAGAGGGGUUCGAUGGUGGUGAGGCGGUCGACCCCGUGCGCGUAGGUGUACUUGACGCGGCAGCCGCCGGAGCCGAGCGAGUGGGAGAGGGUGACCUUGUUGGCGGGGUCGAAGGUGACGCUGCAGUCAAGCGCGGUGCGGGAGGGCAGCGCGGCGGCGGGGGGCGCGGGGGCCGGGGCGAAACUGGUGGAGUGGGUGUAGGUGAGGCUGACCCGCUUGUCGAGCACGAGCGCGGAGUUCAUGAACUGGAAGCGCACAUCCUGCGGCAGCCGCCCCAAAUCGGAUAGGGGUAGGUGAGCGGGGGAGGAGGAGGAGGAGGAGGUAGGUGGAGACGCGAAGGAGACGAGCU